GACGAACGCUGGCGGCACGCUUAACACAUGCAAGUCGAACGAGAGAAGAGUAGCUUGCUUUUCUGAUCUAGUGGCGGACGGGUGAGUAACACGUGAGCAAUCUGCCUUUCAGAGGGGGAUACCGAUUGGAAACGACCGUUAAUACCGCAUAAUAUAAUUGAACCGCAUGAUUUGAUUAUCAAAGAUUUAUCGCUGAAAGAUGAGCUCGCGUCUGAUUAGCUAGUUGGUAAGGUAACGGCUUACCAAGGCGACGAUCAGUAGCCGGACUGAGAGGUUGAUCGGCCACAUUGGGACUGAGACACGGCCCAGACUCCUACGGGAGGCAGCAGUGGGGAAUAUUGCACAAUGGAGGAAACUCUGAUGCAGCGAUGCCGCGUGAGGGAAGAAGGUUUUAGGAUUGUAAACCUCUGUCUUCAGGGACGAAAAAAGACGGUACCUGAGGAGGAAGCUCCGGCUAACUACGUGCCAGCAGCCGCGGUAAUACGUAGGGAGCGAGCGUUGUCCGGAAUUACUGGGUGUAAAGGGAGCGUAGGCGGGAUCGCAAGUCAGAUGUGAAAACUAUGGGCUUAACCCAUAAACUGCAUUUGAAACUGUGGUUCUUGAGUGAAGUAGAGGUAAGCGGAAUUCCUAGUGUAGCGGUGAAAUGCGUAGAUAUUAGGAGGAACAUCAGUGGCGAAGGCGGCUUACUGGGCUUUAACUGACGCUGAGGCUCGAAAGCGUGGGGAGCAAACAGGAUUAGAUACCCUGGUAGUCCACGCCGUAAACGAUGAUUACUAGGUGUGGGGGGACUGACCCCUUCCGUGCCGCAGCAAACGCAAUAAGUAAUCCACCUGGGGAGUACGACCGCAAGGUUGAAACUCAAAGGAAUUGACGGGGGCCCGCACAAGCAGUGGAGUAUGUGGAUUAAUUCGAAGCAACGCGAAGAACCUUACCAGGUCUUGACAUCGUAUGCAUAGCUCAGAGAUGAGUGAAAUCUCUUCGGAGACAUAUAGACAGGUGGUGCAUGGUUGUCGUCAGCUCGUGUCGUGAGAUGUUGGGUUAAGUCCCGCAACGAGCGCAACCCUUACUGUUAGUUGCUACGCAAGAGCACUCUAGCAGGACUGCCGUUGACAAAACGGAGGAAGGUGGGGAUGACGUCAAAUCAUCAUGCCCCUUAUGACCUGGGCCUCACACGUACUACAAUGGCUGUCAACAGAGGGAAGCAAAGCCGCGAGGUGGAGCGAACCCCUAAAAGCAGUCUUAGUUCGGAUUGUAGGCUGCAACCCGCCUACAUGAAGUCGGAAUUGCUAGUAAUCGCAGAUCAGCAUGCUGCGGUGAAUACGUUCCCGGGCCUUGUACACACCGCCCGUCACGCCAUGGGAGUCGGUAACACCCGAAGCCUGUAGUCUAACCGCAAGGAGGACGCAGUCGAAGGUGGGAUUGAUGACUGGGGUG
rnacentral:rRNA from 1 species